UACGGAGGGUGCAAGCGUUAUCCGGAUUCACUGGGUUUAAAGGGUGCGUAGGCGGCCUGUUAAGUCGAACGUGAAAUCCCCGGGCUCAACCCGGGAACUGCGUCCGAUACUGGCAGGCUUGAAUCCGGGAGAGGGAUGUGGAAUUCCAGGUGUAGCGGUGAAAUGCGUAGAUAUUGGGAAGAACACCAGUGGCGAAGGCGGCUCACUGGCCCGUAACUGACGCUGAGGUGCGAAAGCGUGGGGAGCAAACAGG
rnacentral:rRNA from 1 species